rnacentral:misc_RNA from 1 species
UUAUUUGAAUAGGGUUUAACACUAAUUUGUCCUUUAUAUUUGGUGGGAAACCUCUUUCAAAUAUUUUUAAAUUUUACUUCCUUUUGAAAAAAAGGAGCAAGAUGAACAUAUAUUUAAAACCCAACUCUUAAAAUGUAUAUAAUUUUUAAAUGAUAAAAUAAAAGA